rnacentral:rRNA from 1 species
UGGGGAAUAUUGCACAAUGGGCGAAAGCCUGAUGCAGCAACGCCGCGUGAGUGAUGAAGGCCUUCGGGUUGUAAAGCUCUGUCUUCUGGGACGAUAAUGACGGUACCAGAGGAGGAAGCCACGGCUAACUACGUGCCAGCAGCCGCGGUAAUACGUAGGUGGCAAGCGUUGUCCGGAUUUACUGGGCGUAAAGGAUGCGUAGGCGGAUACUUAAGUCAGAUGUGAAAAUCCCGGGCGUAACUUGGGAACUGCAUUUGAAACUGGGUAUCUAAAGUGCGGGAGAGGAAAGUGGAAUUCCUAGUGUAGCGGUGAAAUGCGUAGAGAUUAGGAGCAACACCAGUGGCGAAGGCGGCUUUCUGGACUGUAACUGACGCUGAGGCACGAAAGCGUGGGGAGCAAACA